rnacentral:rRNA from 1 species
UACGUAGGUGGCAAGCGUUGUCCGGAUUUAUUGGGGUUAAAGGGUGCGUAGGCGGCCCUGUAAGUCAGUUGUGAAAUACGGCAGCUUAACUGUCGAGGUGCAAUUGAUACUGCAGGGCUUGAGUACUGAUGAGGUAGGCGGAAUGGACGGUGUAGCGGUGAAAUGCUUAGAGAUCGUCCAGAACACCGAUAGCGGAGGCAGCUUACUAAGGAGUAACUGACGCUGAGGCACGAAAGUGUGGGGAUCAAACAGG